GGGAUAUAGCUCAAUUGGUAGAGUGCUUGCCUAGCAUGCAUGAGGCCCUGGGUUCAAUUCCCAGCCCU
rnacentral:tRNA from 1 species